rnacentral:rRNA from 1 species
UGGCGGUGUGCUUCACACAUGCAAGUCGUACGAGGUAGCACUACCUAGUGGCUCCCGGGUGAGUAACGCGUGGGAAUCUGCCUUUAGAUGGGGGAUAACGAGCCGAAAGGUUCGCUAAUACCGCAUAUGCCGUAAGGUGAAAGGAGUAAUCCGUCUAGAGAUGAGCCCGCGUCCGAUUAGCUAGUUGGUAGGGUAAAGGCCUACCAAGGCGACGAUCGGUAGCUGGUCUGAGAGGAUGAUCAGCCACAAUGGGACUGAGACACGGCCCAUACUCCUACGGGAGGCAGCAGUGGGGAAUUUUACGCAAUGGGGGAAACCCUGACGUAGCGACACCGCGUGAGCGAAGAAGCCCCUUGGGGUGUAAAGCUCUGUCGGCUGGAACGAAAAAAAUGACGGUACCAGCAAAGGAAGCAUCGGCUAACUACGUGCCAGCAGCCGCGGUAAGACGUAGGAUGCAAGCGUUGUCCGGAUUUAUUGGGCGUAAAGAGUUCGUAGGUGGUUUGUCAAGUCUGAUGUUAAAGAUCGGGGCUCAACCCUGGGACUGCAUUGGAUACUGGCAGACUUGAGUAUGGUAGAGGCUAGUGGAAUUCCCAGUGUAGCAGUGAAAUGCGUAGAUAUUGGGAAGAACACCGGUGGCGUAGGCGACUAGCUGGGCCAUAACUGACACUGAGGAACGAAAGCCAGGGGAGCGAAUGGGAUUAGAUACCCCAGUAGUCCUGGCUGUAAACGAUGGAUACUAGGCGUAUCGGGUAUCGACCCCUGAUGUGCCGCAGCUAACGCGAUAAGU